rnacentral:snoRNA from 1 species
GUAUGAUGAUGAAGCUCAUGCGUGUCAACUGACUCUAAACUCCUGGUGUUGUAGCGCCAGUAAGCGUUCUGUUUGCUGGAGCCCUCAGGACAUCAAGGACCCAGAGACAUGAUCAUGCAACACUACUUCUGAAUAC